rnacentral:tRNA from 2 species
GCUCCUAUGGUCUAGGGGUUAAGACAUUCGAUUGCAAAUCGAUUGGUCCCCGGUUCAAAUCCGGGUGGGAGCU